AACGCAAACGGCCGGCGUGAACGUCUCCGCUUCCCAAGGAAAAGUCGCCCUUUUCACAAACCGGCUCGCUGGGCAGGCGAGUGCUUCUCCACUAACUUAGGAUGUAACCAGGGAUUGCGUGUACGGUGGGUCUCCUUUUGUCGUAAUGGCUUGCAGAAUGCACCGCAGGGAACUCGAAGAAACCGCUGUGCCAAACUUAGGUUUGGGUUUGAAUCCGGACCGCUCCUUCCCGCCACCGUGUGUAACUGCGCCUCAGUGAAGGGCGGGCUGGGAGGCUGAGCGCACGCCUUCAGGGCUGGCGCCUCCCUUCGUCCGUGCCGAGAGGCCCCUGGCGUCCCCAGAGUUCCGGGUGCGCCAUGAUGCAGGCGGCCCCGAAGGGUCGUGGCGGAGGGACACUUGCAUAUUAAAACGAUACAUGGGAGAUUAAAAGCACCCCAGACAAGACCGGGAGAUACGGCUCGGCCGUUCGGACUGCUGUUACCGCGCGGCCUUGAAACGGUAUUAGAAGUUUCCCCGGAGAAGUCAAGCACCCAGGAUGCAAAAAUCCCUUUCCUCAGGCCACACCGCACACCGAUGCCGUGUCCAGGCUAGUGUGAAUGGAUUUCCUCGGGCGGCUGCCUACCUGUCCCGGGGCACCUCGCCGCCCCCGAGCCGGACCACCGUCGGGAAGACAUCCAUGAGGCUGGUGGGCUC